rnacentral:ribozyme from 1 species
UCUGUUGUUUGUUCUGUAAAACAGUUGGAUCCGACGCCUUUUGAAGGCUACUAUAGGCUCUCCUUCUCAACUCCUACUCAAUACGUCCACGUCGUGCAGAACGGUAACUUGUCACCAGGACGCUGUGCCAUAUCACGCACACCUCAAACCUAGGCGUGUGCAAAGUGAACGGG